GAUGAACGCUGGCGGCGUGCCUAAUACAUGCAAGUCGAGCGAACAGACGAGGAGCUUGCUCCUCUGACGUUAGCGGCGGACGGGUGAGUAACACGUGGAUAACCUACCUAUAAGACUGGGAUAACUUCGGGAAACCGGAGCUAAUACCGGAUAAUAUAUUGAACCGCAUGGUUCAAUAGUGAAAGACGGUUUUGCUGUCACUUAUAGAUGGAUCCGCGCCGCAUUAGCUAGUUGGUAAGGUAACGGCUUACCAAGGCAACGAUGCGUAGCCGACCUGAGAGGGAGGUCGGCCACCCUGGAUCUGAGGCACGGCCCAGACUCCUGCGGGGGGCAGCAGUAGGGAAUCUUCCGCAAUGGGCGAAAGCCUGACGGAGCAACGCCGCGUGAGUGAUGAAGGUCUUCGGAUCGUAAAACUCUGUUAUUAGGGAAGAACAAAUGUGUAAGUAACUAUGCACGUCUUGACGGUACCUAAUCAGAAAGCCACGGCUAACUACGUG
rnacentral:rRNA from 1 species